rnacentral:tRNA from 1 species
GGCACGGUGGCACAGUGGUUAGCGCUGUUGCCUCGCCAGAAUGAGGUUGUGGGUUCGAAUCCCGGCCGGCCU